UACACCCCUGACUAUUCACCCCUGAAUAUACACCCCUGACUAUUCAACCCUGACUCUACACCCCUGACUAUUCAACCCUGAGUAUUCACCCCUGACUAUUCAACCCUGAAUAUACACCCCUGACUAUACACCCCUGACUAUACACUCGAGUACUCAACACUGAGUUUUCACCACUGACCGCUGCCAUGUUGGCGUAGGUAGGUGAAGAGGUGUGUGUAGGUAGGUGAAGAGGUGGGCGUAGGUAGGUGAAGAGGUGGGCGUAGGUAAUUGAAAAGGUGGGCGUAGGUAAUUGAAAAGGUGGGCGUAGGUAGGUGAAGAGGUGGGCGUAGGUAGGUGAAGAGGUGGGCGUAGGUAGGUGAAGAGGUGGGCGUAGGUAGGUGAAUAGGUGGGCGUAGGUAAUUGAAAAGGUGGGCGUAGGUAGGUGAAGAGGUGGUGUCUAAACUACAAUUAAUCUGUUACCUGAGGCAUUGUAGAGUUCCUUCAGUGUCCCCUGCGGCUGCUCUCUGAUCAGUUAGGUACUGUAUAAGGUAAGGUAUCUAAGGGGGUGAGGUAUCUA